rnacentral:rRNA from 1 species
GACGAACGCUGGCGGCGUGCUUAACACAUGCAAGUCGAACGGAAAGGCCCCCACUUUUUUGGUGGGGGUGCUCGAGUGGCGAACGGGUGAGUAACACGUGGGUGAUCUGCCCUGUACUUCGGGAUAAGCUUGGGAAACUGGGUCUAAUACCGGAUAGGACCAUGGUUUAGUGUCUCAUGGUGGAAAGAUUAUUGUUUUGGUGCAGGAUGAGCUCGCGGCCUAUCAGCUUGUUGGUGGGGUAAUGGCCUACCAAGGCGUCGACGGGUAGCCGGCCUGAGAGGGUGGACGGCCACAUUGGGACUGAGAUACGGCCCAGACUCCUACGGGAGGCAGCAGUGGGGAAUAUUGCACAAUGGGCGCAAGCCUGAUGCAGCGACGCCGCGUGGGGGAUGACGGCCUUCGGGUUGUAAACUCCUUUCGUUAGGGACGAAGCCGCACCUG